ACGGGUGAGUAAUGUCUGGGGAUCUGCCCGAUAGAGGGGGAUAACCACUGGAAACGGUGGCUAAUACCGCAUAACGUCGCAAGACCAAAGAGGGGGACCUUCGGGCCUCUCACUAUCGGAUGAACCCAGAUGGGAUUAGCUAGUAGGCGGGGUAACGGCCCACCUAGGCGACGAUCCCUAGCUGGUCUGAGAGGAUGACCAGCCACACUGGAACUGAGACACGGUCCAGACUCCUACGGGAGGCAGCAGUGGGGAAUAUUGCACAAUGGGCGCAAGCCUGAUGCAGCCAUGCCGCGUGUAUGAAAAAGGCCUUCGGGUUGUAAAGUACUUUCAGCGGGGAGGAAGGCGAUAAGGUUAAUAACCUUGUCGAUUGACGUUACCCGCAGAAGAAGCACCGGCUAACUCCGUGCCAGCAGCCGCGGUAAUACGGAGGGUGCAAGCGUUAAUCGGAAUUACUGGGCGUAAAGCGCACGCAGGCGGUCUGUUAAGUCAGAUGUGAAAUCCCCGGGCUUAACCUGGGAACUGCAUUUGAAACUGGCAGGCUUGAGUCUCGUAGAGGGGGGUAGAAUCCCAGGUGUAGCG
rnacentral:rRNA from 1 species